rnacentral:rRNA from 1 species
GCACAACGCGAAGAACCUUACCCACCUUUGACAUGUACGGAAUCCUUUAGAGAUAGAGGAGUGCUCGAAAGAGAGCCGUAACACAGGUGCUGCAUGGCUGUCGUCAGCUCGUGUCGUGAGAUGUUGGGUUAAGUCCCGCAACGAGCGCAACCCUUGCCAUUAGUUGCUACAUUUAGUUGAGCACUCUAAUGGGACUGCCGGUGACAAACCGGAGGAAGGUGGGGAUGACGUCAAGUCCUCAUGGCCCUUAUAGGUGGGGCUACACACGUCAUACAAUGGCUGGUACAAAGGGGUUGCCAACCCGGCGAGGGGGUAGCUAAUCCCAUAAAGCCAGUCGUAGUCCGGAUCGCAGUCUGCAACUCGACUGCGUGAAGUCGGAAUCGCUAGUAAUCGUGGAUCAGAAUGUCACGGUGAAUACGUUCCCGGGUCUUGUACACACCG